rnacentral:miRNA from 1 species
GACUCUCAGUUAAAUUUGAAUUUCAUGUGAACAUUGAAAAAUGUUUUAUUGUAAGUAUGACUUCAUGCCAUAUUUGGGAUAUACUUAUACUAAAAAGUUAUGUGGUUCAUCUGAAAUUCACAUAUAACUGGCUGUC